AUCCCAGAAUGGCGCAAUUUUUGCCCCUGAAUACCUAUUAAAACCGCCCUUUCACGGCGGCAACAGGGGUUCGAAUCCCCUACGGGAUGCCA
rnacentral:tRNA from 1 species